AUACCUUUCUCGGCCUUUUGGCUAAGAUCAAGUGUAGUAUCUGUUCUUAUCAGUUUAAUAUCUGAUACGCGGGCCAUUGGCCCACAUGAUAUUAAAUUAAUUUUUCUAAGGGGAGGAUCAGCUUCAGUAGCUUGCUACUGGGAUCCUCGAGCGUCGCCUUUUAUAUGCGUUGCACUGCCGCAAGGGCCUGGCGCGCCCUAC
rfam:Jatropha curcas cultivar GZQX0401 scaffold684_90, whole genome shotgun sequence.